AUGACAAUUCAAUAAAGUUUUUUAAGUACUAAUCUGAAAAGAAUUUGAGAAAAGAAAAAAAUUGAAAAAACAAAAAAAUUAAAAACGUGUAUCAAUCAGCUGACCAGUACAUCAGGGUGUAUUAAGUGCCGGGAUGGUACCAAACUGGUACCACACCGUAUUGGUGGCCUACAUGUAUGGGUCUCGGUACUGUUUCAACGGAACUUGGGUGGG
rnacentral:lncRNA from 1 species